rnacentral:rRNA from 1 species
AGUACGUGAAACUGCUUAGAGGUUAAGCCCGAUGAACCUGAAUAUCCAUUAUGGAAAAUUCAUCACUAAUAAUAUGAUAUUUAAAAAAUAUUAUAGAAAUAGUGUGCAAUUUUUCCAUAUAAGGACAUUGUAAUCUGUUAAUGUCUUAAAUAUUUAUUAAAAGAUCUUAUACUUAAGUUUAUUCAAAUUAGUUAUUUUCGAAUUUCUAACAUAGAAUAAGUGUAUUUGAUUUAAUAAAUCAUUGACAGAUUUAAUUAUAAUAUAGUGCUUAAAUUUUGAAAGAAAUUUUACAAUAAUAUGACAAUUCAAUUUGAUUAUAUUUAUUGUAUGCGCUUAUAUGAUUAACAAUGCGAUAGAUUCAGGAUACCUUCGGGACCCGUCUUGAAACACGGACCAAGGAGUCUAACAUAUGUGCAAGUCAUUGGGUAUUUUUAAUAAAACCCAAUGGCAUAAUUAACUUAACUGUUUUAUAUUUUUUUUAUAAAAUAUGGGAUUAGUUUAUAUUUUAUUAUGAAAUAUUAAUUCAAUCCCGGGGCGUUCUAUAUAGUUAUGUAUAAUGAUAUUUAUAUUAUUUAUGCCUCUAACU